UGUAUUUGCCCGGAGUCUGCUUGCGUUGUACACAUGUCUGUGCUGAAGAAAGCAAUGUCCAAGUUCCGUCUGGCUGUGGUCCAGUUGCAGGUGACUGGAGUCAAGGCGGACAACCUGGUCAGAGCCCGGAGGCUGGUGAAGGAGGCGGCGAGUCAGGGCAGCCAGGUGGUGCUCCUGCCGGAGUGCUUCAACUCCCCCUAUGGCACCAGCUUCUUCCCUCAAUAUGCCGAGAGGAUUCCUGGAGAGUCCACGCAGAUGUUAUCAGAAGCAGCCAAGGAACAUCAGGUGUAUUUAGUCGGAGGUUCCAUCCCCGAGGAGGACGGUGGGAAGCUGUACAACAGCUGCACUGUGUUUGGACCGGAUGGUGAGCUGCUGGUGAAACACAGGAAGGUUCACCUCUUUGACAUCAACGUGCCAGGCAAAAUCUGCUUUCAGGAGUCGGAGACGCUGUCUCCGGGCAACAGCCUGUCCAUAUUUGAAACACCCUUCUGUAAAGUGGGGGUGGGGAUCUGCUACGACAUGAGGUUCGCAGAGCUGGCCCAGCUCUACAGCAGGAGAGGGUGUCAUCUUCUGGUCUAUCCCGGAGCCUUCAACAUGACCACAGGUCCAGCUCACUGGGAGCUGCUUCAGAGAGGCAGGGCCCUGGACAACCAGGUGUAUGUGGCCACGGCUUCCCCGGCCAGAGAUGAGACCGCCUCUUAUGUGGCCUGGGGUCACAGCACCGUGGUCAGCCCCUGGUUCUUGAACCCACGGAUAGCAGAGGUAGAACAGCAGGCAGUCAGUGAGUCGAGUCAUCCUCCACCAUAGAGAUGGUGGGUUCAGGAUUGAGACCGUUUCACCGUGUAAGGCUGUACGCACUGGGGGUAAGAUUACUUGUGGAAAGGGAUGUAGGUCAGGUCAUGAUGUCAAAGUAACAUCCGGAUCUUUCUGACACAAUAAGCAUCAGAAUGUGGCUGAAUGAACAAGUGAACUAUUCAUUCCCAAAAAGUAACCUUUCUUCUCUACUGGCCAAACAUGUCAGAGCCGCUCUACAACACACCCUGUGUUUGUUACAGUUCAUUUGUUUAAUUUGAAAUGUGUGUGUUCACGCCACGAGUCAGAACAGUUAAACAGCACUCUGUUCAUGUUUGGUCACAUAAUAUACGACAUCACCCUCUGAGGAUGAUUUUCAGCCAUGGUUUUGGCAAGUGAGAACACCCUGAAGGCUUUUGAAGAGAACAUUUGUACCUUUCUCUCUUUGCUCCAGGGGAGAAGUCAUCUCGAAAGCAGGAGCUGAGGAGGCGGUGAUUUACGCAGAUAUUGAUCUGCAGUAUCUAUCAGAGAUUCGGCAGCAGAUUCCCAUCACAGCUCAGCGCCGGGACGACAUCUACACAGUGACGACUGUUCAGGACACAUCCUGAUGAA